CACAGAACACACGGAAUUCGAUAAAUAUCCAUAUGUAACAACGUGCCCAAAUUGUUUAAGUUAUAUAAAAACAGAAAUUCAUCGCCAUACUACUGGUGCAACGCGUGCUAUUUCUGCAGCUUUCGUCCCAAUAUGCAUGUGUAUGAUACCAUAUAUUACGACUAAAUAUAAAGAUGUAGUGCAUUAUUGCCCCCGAUGCAAAAUUUAUUUAGGCGUCAAGUUUGGAAGAGGUAAAAUUUUAUUUGGUCGAUUUAUAGUACCGAUAUGUUGAUGAUAUAUACAUAUAUAUAAAAAAGUAAUAAUAAUAUAUUCGAUAAUUUUAAAAAUCUGAACUGUUAUAAAAAUUAUAAUAUUUAUCGAUAAUGAAUAUUUAUCUUAAAAUAAUGUUAUCGAUAUUUAUCAUUAUUAAUUAUUAUCUAUUAUAUAUUUUCUUUGUAAAUAAAAGUUUUAAAUAAAGUUUUAAAUAAGUUAAAAUUAAAAAUAA